GGGACUAUAGCUCAGUGGUAGAGCACUUGCUUAGUAUGCAUGAGGUCCUGAGUUUGAUCCCCAGUAUGGCCA
rnacentral:tRNA from 1 species